UUUUACUAGUAAGCCCAGUCAAGCAGAGGAAGAGGAUGAAUCCCAAAAGGUCAUCAGCAAAGCCACUAUGGAGAAUACAGGUAAUAAGUCAUGAACCUAUAUUAUAUGUACUGAUCCAAAUAUUAAUUAUUCAUAUCUAAUUUUGAGCCUGUUUUGCUGAAAAUGUCUUAAGUACUGAAAUGCAUUAAGCAGGAAGGCACUCUCCUUCAGCUGGUGGGGGUAAAACCUCUCAUCUUCAAUAAUGAAUUUUGGCACAAUUAGUAUGCCAUUCCAAUUAUACAAUUGUAACAAUGGCUGGAGAGGACUCCUGGACUGGAAAAGGAUGGAUUUCAUUUCUGGUGGAAUACUGCAAGCCAACAUCGAAGAAGGUCUCAAGAUGGAGAAACACAAACUUGAAAAAACGGAAGAUUCUGAGGCGAAGGAGUCUCAAACAGGAGAACAAACAGACUGAGGUCUUCACCGCCCUGUUUGAUCCAAAACACCAUGAGCAUCUUUUCAGCAAAGUAUGCUUCCCUCUCGCACAUAACAAUCAAGAAUCCUGA
ensembl:lncRNA